CAGGUAAGUAGGUAUUAUAGGUUGGCAA
rnacentral:sRNA from 1 species